rnacentral:rRNA from 1 species
AUACGUAGGGGACGAGCGUUGUCCGGAAUUACUGGGCGUAAAGGGCGCGCAGGCGGAUAUUUAAGUCAGCUGUAAAAGGCAUGAGCUCAACUCCUGUAUGCGGUUGAAACUGGGUAUCUAGAGUGCUGGAGAGGUAGGCGGAAUUCCCGGUGUAGCGGUGAAAUGCGUAGAUAUCGGGAAGAACACCAGUGGCGAAGGCGGCUUACUGGGCAGCAACUGACGCUGAGGCGCGAAAGCCAGGGGAGCGAACGGGAUUAGAUUCCCCGGUAGUCCUGGCCGUAAACGAUGAAUGCUAGGUGUGGGUGUCGAGAGGCAUCCGUGCCGGAGUUAACGCGAUAAGCAUUCCGCCUGGGGAGUACGAUCGCAAGAUUGAAACUUAAAGGAAUUGACGGG